AAUUCCAGUUGAUCCUGCUGGAGGGUACCGCUAUCAGACUUCGAUUAAGCCAUGCAAGUCCACUUACAGACUUCUGUUGGUGGCAUAGGGCUGAGUAACACGUAGUCAAUCUAACCUAGGGACGUGGAUAACCUCGGGAAACUGAGGCUAACCCGCGAU
rnacentral:rRNA from 1 species